GGUCUAAUAGUGUAGAGGUUAUCACAUGGGAUUCUGAGUCUUCAGCUUCCCAUGACCCAGGUUCGAGUCCUGGUUAGACCU
rfam:Lentinula edodes NBRC 111202 DNA, contig: scaffold586.